UCAUAAUUUGCCUGAAGCGCAAGACGUGAGAAGUUUUCUGAAAACCUUUCAUAAUAUUCCGAAGCCUUUUCAUUUCUUUGCUUUCUCACCGUGAUCUGAGCACAGAGGUUGAUUAUCGAGGUUUUUAUCUUUUGUUGAACCUGGCAUUCCUAGUUUUGAAUCGUGUGACUGAAUGAUCCAUGGAGUC